UCCCUGGUGGUCCAGCGGUUAAGAUGCCACACUCCAAAUGCAGAAGGCCCAGGUUCAAUACCUGGUCAGGGAA
rfam:Ovis aries breed Texel chromosome 9, whole genome shotgun sequence.